CAAUGUCCUUUCACCGAAGCCAAUCAAUUGUGUUCCAGCUGUGUUCUCCCCAUGAGGGUGUGUUUACACUGACUUCAGCGUGGAGUCAUUACAUCAGAAUCAGAUGGAUAUUGGGUGACAGAAAGCCCUGGCAGCAUUAAACUUGUUUUACUCCUGUUGCUCUAGCCUGGUGGAGAAACAUCUGCUAGUGAAAGGAUGCACUUUUGAAUAUAUAUCUUUAGAAGAUCAUUCAUUCUUCAGAUUCCUGGAACUUUAACAACAAAUUUUAAACAGACCCCAAAACGCUGCAAGGAUCACAUGCCCAAAUCAGAGCUGAACAAAUCAUUUUCAGGAAUUACAAGGGAGGCAUCAACACAGCUAAAUACUGAUAGUGUAGCAACUAUAAGAGAUGGAAAGAUACUCCACACCUGUGUGUGGCUCCUCAGAGGAUGAGGUGAAAAUUUACCAACAUUACCAUCCCAUACCUCAACAGCAUCCUCACAACCAUCAUUACAACCACUAUCACCACCGUGGCUCACACAGUCAUGGAAAACACACUGAAAAACAUACUCACCAGCACCACGACAACCAGCUUCACUUUUAUCAUCCUGCAAACCCUAAAAUGUCUGGAGACCAUCACAGAGUCUCUAAAAGGUCUUCCUCCAGCCUGUCCUCCUCCUCUUCCACUUCUUCAUCUGGAUCUUGGACCUCUGAGCCCAGCCUGGAUGAUGAGACGUAUCUCAUGCACAAACCCCAGCAUUCCCUGUCCUGCUCCAACAUCCCUGAGGUCCGAAGGAAAAGCCAUGACAGAGAAUCUGAGGACUUUGAUUUUGAUCUGAGUGAUCAGGGGCACCGCCACAGUCUAGAAAACGCAGUCGAACUGCUGCCUGGUUCUCAGCAUGGACAUCAGAUGCCAAAACUCUCCCGGGACCAUAGCAAAAGCGAGGAGGGCCUUCAACAAAACAAGCAUAAAGAUGGUUGCUCAGCAGGAUCUCACUCCAUAGAUCAUGGGCCUCUUUACAAGACAGCAAGCCUGGGACAAAGCCUUGCCUUUGGUGGCAAUAAUGAUAACACUCUAGGUGGCAGAGUGGUUCCCAAGAAGGCUGUUUCAUCUAUUCAGUUGCCCAGCAAAGGUAUUCUGAAAAACAUAGAUGAGGGACAGAAAGAUGGAAACUUCAGGAAAGCGAAGUCUAUGGAGGUGCUCUCCACCAGGGUGCACGUCACAGGAACAUCCGAGCAGAUCUCUAUGGAAGCUGCAAGUGAUAACUUUGUGAAAGGGAAGCUACAGUUCUCUGCAUUUCUGGACGAGAUCACCAGGCAGGUUAUCAGUCCCUGUGCUCUUAGCUCUUUUGGCGUAAAUACACCAACGCCACCAAAAUCUCCCAAUGAAGAGCGCAAGAACCGUGGCAGCAAACGGGAGAGCUUUGUGCCGCCACCAAAACAGCAGCCCAUCAGAGCUGAGAGACCAGAUUCAGGAAAAACAGAUUCAAGCUCACUCUCUCGAUCCCAUAAGAGCAAAAACCACAACCGAAACCUGACCAGCCCUCCAUCGCUGCCCUGCCGCCCUUCAAAAGCUGAAAGACAAGGGGCUGCUUCAGGGAAACAGCACCACAGACAAUAUUCCCAGAUGUUCACUGAUGGUACCAGCACCAGCCCAGAAACUAUCCACACCAACCUCUCGAAACACAAAGGGCGACAUCAAAGUAGUCAUGGCCCGUCCAGGAACUUCCAUACUAAGCAGGCAAAGGGAUCACCGCCGCCUCGGCGAGCGGCAGGGCUGGAGUUAGAGUCCCAGUCAAGUAAAUCAUCCACCAGUGCUAGUUCAGAGAAAAGUGACAGACCCAAACACAUGGGACACAGGAGGCAGUCCAAACCACACAGGGAUUCAUCUGGUUCCGUGGACAGAGUUCAGAUGCUGGAGGAGCACAACAAAGAGCUACAUGAGACCCUGUUGCAGACUGUGGCAUGCAUUGAGAACAUGGAGGCAGAAUUGCAAAGUACCAAGACAGAGUUAGUCAGCUUCAAAGAGAAAUACAGAAGGCUACAGGAAAGCUAUUCUGUUUCUCAGCAGGCAAGCAGUAUCUUGGAGCAGAAACUCAAAACUGCAGUUCCCUCACUGAUUAGAGAGUUGUUGAAAAAUCACUUAGACUCUCAUGAAGCACUGGAGCACUUGUUAUGUCCUCAAACAUAUCCACGCCAAACUGAUGGAUACCAAUCAGAGAGGGUGAAGGAGCUCAGAAACAACCAACCGUUUGAUGGAAAAAGGGAUGUUUUUGAAUGGCCACAGACUGGACACACAUGCUCAGGUGCCAGACAACAGCCUGCCACAACCUUUCUGCCAUGGAAACAUGAUCACGAUCCAUGGGCAGGGCCAGGGCAACUUGUGACUGAAGGAAGUGACUCACAACUUCCUUUUUCUUUUAGUAAUGAUAUGCCAAUCCAGAACACGAUGGCAGAUACAAAGGCACCAAAUCAUCAAGUGCACCAAUUAGCCAUGAACACAGAGAUCCACUUAAUUCCCCCAAACCCAUAUAAUCCAGUUGAGAUGAGGCUCAGCAGACAGACAGGUGGAGAGGGAACUGUCACUGUGGGGAAAGAGCCCACUGAUGUCAGCUAUCUUACAGCUCAAAGGAUGCUGAAUGAGUUUUUGAACCAGAUUCCUCCUCCAGCGCAUGAUGGUGAAGGAAAAGAUACAGCAGAGCUAACAGAAGAGAAGCAGUAACAUUUCAUUUGACGUCUUUUGGUAAACUGUAUAGGAAAUUAAAAAUCUCUAACACCUCCCGUUACCAAUAUUGCAGCAAGGAUGCAAAUAACUGUGGCUCUGAUAUUUGUGAAAUAAACUUAAUUUCUAGCUUUACA
ensembl:lncRNA